GAAGGCGGCCCCUGGACAAGACUGACGCUCAGGUGCGAAAGCGUGGGGAGCAAACAGGAUUAGAUACCUGGUAGUCACGCUGUAAACGAUGUCGAUUUGGAGGUUGUUCCCGUGAGGAGUGGCUUCCGGAGCUAACGCGUUAAAUCGACCGCUGGGGAGUACGGCCGCAAGGUUAAAACUCAAAUGAAUUGACGGGGGCCCGCACAAGCGGUGGAGCAUGUGGUUUAAUUCGAUGCAACGCGAAGAACCUUACCUACUCUUGACAUCCAGAGAAUUUAGCAGAGAUGCUUUAGUGCCUUCGGGAACUCUGAGACAGGUGCUGCAUGGCUGUCGUCAGCUCGUGUUGUGAAAUGUUGGGUUAAGUCCCGCAACGAGCGCAACCCUUAUCCUUUGUUGCCAGCACAUUAUGGUGGGAACUCAAAGGAGACUGCCGGUGAUAAACCGGAGGAAGGUGGGGAUGACGUCAAGUCAUCAUGGCCCUUACGAGUAGGGCUACACACGUGCUACAAUGGCGUAUACAAAGAGAAGCGACCUCGCGAGAGCAAGCGGAACUCAUAAAGUACGUCGUAGUCCGGAUUGGAGUCUGCAACUCGACUCCAUGAAGUCGGAAUCGCUAGUAAUCGUAGAUCAGAAUGCUACGGUGAAUACGUUCCCGGGCCUUGUACACACCGCCCGUCACACCAUGGGAGUGGGUUGCAAAAGAAGUAGGUAGCUUAACCUUCGGGAGGGCGCUUACCACUUUGUGAUUCAUGACUGGGGUGAAGUCGUAACAAGGUAACCA
rnacentral:rRNA from 1 species